GACAGAGGGUGCAAGCGUUGUUCGGAAUUAUUGGGCGUAAAGGGCGCGUAGGCGGCUGAGCAAGUCGAACGUGAAAUCCCUGGGCUUAACCCAGGAAGUGCAUUUGAUACUGCUCAACUUGAGUCCCGGAGAGGGUGGUGGAAUUCCCAGUGUAGAGGUGAAAUUCGUAGAUAUUGGGAGGAACACCGGUGGCGAAGGCGACCACCUGGACGGAGACUGACGCUGAGGCGCGAAAGCCAGGGGAGCAAACGGG
rnacentral:rRNA from 1 species